AAGGAGCUGUGGACUGCAUGGAAGAGAGAAUGCCGGAAUGAGUAGCGAGAUAGAGGUGGGAAUCCUCUAGGCCGAAUAUCCAAGGUUUCCAGGGUAAAGCUGAUCUGCCCUGGGUGAGUCGGGACCUAAGGUGAGGGCGAGAGCCGUAGCCGAUGGACAACAGGUUGAUAUUCCUGUACUGCAGUAUGACAGAACUGUGGGGACACGUAAGGAGAGCGGGAGCCGGGAAUGGAAAGCCCGGUACAAGCGAGGUACCAGUCACAUAGGAAAAUCCGUGUGGCAAUGGGAAGACGUGAUGUGGAGUGAAUUUUAGUAACGAAGCCCGUGAGCCAUGCGUCAAGAAAAGCCGCUAUCGUUCAUAUUGUACCCGUACCGUAAACCGACACAGGUGGAUGAGGAGAGAAUCCUAAGGCCGGCGGAAGAAGUAUUGCCAAGGAACUCGGCAAAAUGGCCCCGUAACUUAGGGAGAAGGGGUGCCUGCGAGAGCAGGCCGCAGAGAAUAGGCUCAAGCAACUGUUUAGCAAAAACACAGGUCUAUGCGAAACCGAAAGGUGAGGUAUAUGGGCUGACGCCUGCCCGGUGCUGGAAGGUUAAGAGGAGAGGUUAGCGCAAGCGAAGCUUUGAAUUUAAGCCCCAGUAAACGGCGGCCGUAACUAUAACGGUCCUAAGGUAGCGAAAUUCCUUGUCGGGUAAGUUCCGACCCGCACGAAAGGCGUAAUGAUUUGAGCGCUGUCUCGGCAAUACAUCCGGUGAAAUUGAAGUGCCAGUGAAGAUGCUGGCUACCCGCGCCAGGACGGAAAGACCCCAUGGAGCUUUACUCCAGUUUGGCACUGGGGUCCGGUGUUGCAUGUACAGGAUAGGUGGGAGGCUGAGAAACGGUAACGUCAGUUGCCGCGGAGCCGCUGUUGGGAUACCACCCUUGUGAUAUUGGGCUUCUAACCAGCCGCCGUAAUCCGGCGGUGGGACAAUGCCAGGCGGGGAGUUUGACUGGGGCGGUCGCCUCCGAAAGGGUAUCGGAGGCGCCCAAAGGUUCCCUCAGAAUGGACGGAAACCAUUCGAAGAGUGCAAAGGCAGAAGGGAGCUUGACUGCGACACCGACG
rnacentral:rRNA from 1 species